UUAAUUCAAAUUGGUAUGGAUUCGGAACGUUUGCCGCUACGGGCGCUGUUCCAACUGCAUACCAAUUUAAGCUA
rnacentral:pre_miRNA from 1 species